CAAUAAAAGGAGUUUUAGUGUUCCUGUGGAGUUGCUUUCUUGAUCUGAAUUAGUUAAUAGGGCUAACGAAACUGAUCAUUAUGGAUAGAUGUUAUUCCUUGGAGAAUUGGGUUCUGGAAGGAAUUGCAUUGUUUGCCAACUGCUC